GGAGGGUUGGCUGAGCGGUUUAAGGCGCUGGUCUUGAAAACCAGUUGGGAUGCAAGUCCCGCGCAGGUUCGAAUCCUGCACCCUCCGCCA
rnacentral:tRNA from 1 species